GUCAGGAUGGCCGAGCGGUCUAAGGCGCCAGACUCAAGGUUUAACCUUACUCUGCUGCAGAGUAUUGAGCGUUCUGGUCCACGAAUGUGGGCGUGGGUUCGAAUCCCACUUCUGACA
rnacentral:tRNA from 13 species